rnacentral:rRNA from 1 species
UACGUAGGGUGCGAGCGUUAAUCGGAAUUACUGGGCGUAAAGGGUGCGCAGGCGGUUUUAUAAGUCAGAUGUGAAAUCCCCGGGCUUAACCUGGGAACUGCAUUGGUGACUGCAUUGCUGGAGUAUGGCAGAGGGGGGUGGAAUUCCACGUGUAGCAGUGAAAUGCGUAGAGAUGUGGAGGAACACCGAUGGCGAAGGCAGCCCCCCGGGCCAAUACUGACGCUCAUGCACGAAAGCGUGGGGAGCAAACAGG